CAGCCGCCACGGUAAUACGAAGGGGGCUAGCGUUGUUCGGAAUUACUGGGCGUAAAGGGCGCGUAGGCGGCCAUUCAAGUUAGAUGUGAAAGCCCUGGGCUCAACCUAGGAAUUGCAUUUGAUACUGUUUGGCUUGAGUUCGGGAGAGGUGAGUGGAAUUCCCAGUGUAGAGGUGAAAUUCGUAGAUAUUGGGAAGAACACCAGUGGCGAAGGCGGCUCACUGGACCGACACUGACGCUGAGGCGCGAAAGCGUGGGGAGCAAACAGGAUUAGAUACCCCCGUAGUCCCUGUCUCUUAUAA
rnacentral:rRNA from 1 species